rnacentral:lncRNA from 1 species
GGGAAGCGGAGGGAUGAGGGCAGGCCCUCUGUCCUGGGUCACAUAUUUCAAGGAUGUUGUAAGAUUCGAGGCCAAAGCAACGAUUUCCAAUCAGAGGGGUCGUGCCCUCUGUCCCCGCCCUGCCGAAGCACUUAAAGUGACUGGUGACAACUGUUCCCUUGGGUCCCUGCAGGCUCUGAGCUUUGGAGGCCUCUUGACUGAGCAGGCUUCAGACACUGCGGACCGAAGGGGAGCCAGGGUCUGUGUCUCUGGGUGGAACACACCUAUUUGUUGUUGUUGCUGUUACUGAUUUGCCUGUUAACACAUUUUGGGUUUUUGUUUUCAUUGUUUCCUGAGGCACAGGUGGUAUACAAUCUUCUAUAAGUUCCAGGGGUACACUAUAGUGAUUCGGAGUCUUUAAAGGUCGAACUCCACUUCGAGUUAUUAUAAAACAUCAGGUAGACCCUUGCGGCCUCUGCUCCGAGGUGCCACACGUGGGUAGGAAGAUGCCCCCCCUUCCCCGCAGCCCCUUGGUCCAAACUCUCCCAGGACGGAACUGGCUCCAUUUCUUUGCCAAGCAUCCACCACCUGAAAUGCAGAGUCAUUGCCCGUCUCGCUCAGCACACAGGAAAUCAGAUGCGUCCCUGCUGAAAUGCCCUCCCUCCCUCCUCCCUCUCUCUGUCUCUCUCAAAAGCCUUUCUCUAAAGACGCCCACCUCUGAGCACUGACACAGUGGCCCCCCCUCCGCCCCCAGCCUCCGCUUCAGUUACCUGCAGGCAACCUUGUUUUGAAAAUACAAAGUGGAAAAUUCCAGAAAUAAACAAUUCAUAAGGUUGUUUGGAGGAGUUUUUUUGAUAAACAAUUCAUAAGGGUUUUUUUUUUUUUGGUUUGUUUUGUUUUGGAUUUAAUUAAAUUUUGAAUUGAAGUGGAGUCGGUUGACCAUGUUGUGUUAGUUUCGGGUACAUGGCACCGUGAUUCAGUUAUAUAUUUUUUCUAGAUUUGUUUCCCUUACAGGUUAUGAUAAAACGGGGAGCAUAUUUUCCUGAGCUGUGCAGAGGGGAGCUCGUUAUCUAGGUUAUGUCUGUUCAUCUCAAACUAAUUGAUCCUUCCCCAGCUUUUCGCUCCGGUAACCAUAAGUUUGUUUUCUGUGGCUGGGGGUCUACUUCUGCUUUGUCAAUAAGUUCAUUGCCUGCUGUGCUGAGGGCCGAGAUGAAAUUUUGCACCUUCCCACUCCAUCCUGCCCGGAUGUGAGUUGACCCUUUGAUGCUCUGCCCCCUGCCCCCUGGUCCAGGAAAAUCACGGUACCCGGAGGGCUCGCAGGGCUUGUGCCGUCAGCAUCCCUGGCGGGGGUGCUCUGGGAACGUGCCCCCGCAGACCCCUGCACACCCUCUCCAGGGAAGUACAUGUGAGGGAAAAACGUGUACUUCUGAAGUGCUUCUGCCUCUGGCCUUUUUUCCGUGGAAGCUAAAAAAUACAUCUGUGGGUUUUUUUCCAGGAAAUUAAAAAAAAAAAAAAUCUCUCCAUCUCUCUUUGUCUGUGUCUCUCUCAUACGCACACACGCAGAAAGUUCUAUUAGAUUUCAAACUGGACAAAAAUUACUUCCUUUAUUUAGAGAAGUAUCAUUUGUGAAAAAAAAAACCCAUGAUAUUUAAGCAUACAGAAAAGUGUGUGUGUGUAUCAGGGAAAACACUUCCUCUCUGAUUCUCCUUCUCAAGCUCGUCCUCACCAGGCAGAGAUGCUGGCUGCCUUGAGAAAAUACGUACCGGAGAGAAAAACACACACACACACACACACUCACUCGGCUGCAAGGCCUCACUCUGCCGCCCCAGAAAAGCCUGAUCUUCCCAGGAUGUUGUCUAAACACACACACACACACACACACACACACACACACGCACGGACUUGUAGCAGGAGGAACAUUGUGUGUUUCCACCCCCCCACCGCCCUCUCUGCACACCCACACUCAGGCAGAGGCGUGCCCCCCACUAAGUGUGCACCAUGUGAAAAAUCAACCCUCUUUCCUUCUCAUUCUCAGCCCACAAAGAUCUGUCUGCAGACAGAAUGACGUCUCCCCCUGAGAAGGCUUUUCUCCCCAGACUCUGUCCCGGGGGACAAAUGCCCCCCAAGGGAAGAGCACCUGGAGAAAACGCCCACUCUCACUCCCUCUCCGUGUCUGAGAAUUGCAUGUGCAUGUGUGCGUGCGUGCGUGCGUGUGCAAAGUCACUGUUUGUGGUCUGGCUUCUUGCAAACCCCAAAUAUGCAGCCUUUUCCAGACAGAAAAACUCUGUCUCUUUCUCUCUCCCUCUCUGUCUCUCUCUCUCUCCCUCUCGCUCUCUCUCUCUCUCACACACACAUGCAUGCACACACAUGUACACACACAUAGGAGAGCUCUCCUUUUCUCACUAAUGGGAUGGACCACCUGAAACACCAGCAUGUUAUAAUCACUGGCUCUUAGAAACCUCAUUCUCAGCAGAAGGUAUUGUUUUUGCCUCUCAAAAAUUCUCCCUCUAAAGAUCUGCCACCAGGCAGAAAUCACACACACACACACACACACACACACACACACACACACACACAGCAAGAAGAGAGCCGUGUGCGCGUGAGUGUGGUUAUAAGUAGAAAAAUCUCUCUGUGCUGAGCCGACUCCCUGCAAGCAGAAAAAAAAUGUCCUUUUUCCAGAAAGAAAAACUCCCAACACACAGACACACAGACACACACACCAUGGCUCUUCUUUGUGUUUGCAUCACCUGGAAAACGAGCAGACAAACAACUCACAGAAAAUUAUAUGUGUGCUUGUCUCCAGGCAAAAAAAUAAAAAUAAAAAUAAAAUUCUCUAUUUCCACUCAGAAAAGUCACUUUUUAAAAAUCAUUGGGCAGAAAUACACCCCCCCCAUCGAGACCACACCAGAUAAAACACACGUCCUCAGAAAACUGUGUGUGUGUAGGAGAAAAAAAAAAAAA